AGAGUUUGAUCCUGGCUCAGGAUGAACGCUGGCGGCGUGCCUAAUACAUGCAAGUCGAACGCUUCACUUCGGUGAAGAGUGGCGAACGGGUGAGUAAUACAUAAGUAACCUGGCAUCUACAGGGGGAUAACUGAUGGAAACGUCAGCUAAGACCGCAUAGGUGUAGAGAUCGCAUGAACUCUAUAUGAAAAGUGCUACGGGACUGGUAGAUGAUGGACUUAUGGCGCAUUAGCUGGUUGGUAGGGUAACGGCCUACCAAGGCGACGAUGCGUAGCCGACCUGAGAGGGUGACCGGCCACACUGGGACUGAGACACGGCCCAGACUCCUACGGGAGGCAGCAGUAGGGAAUUUUCGGCAAUGGGGGAAACCCUGACCGAGCAACGCCGCGUGAAGGAAGAAGUAAUUCGUUAUGUAAACUUCUGUCAUAGAGGAAGAACGGUGGAUAUAGGGAAUGAUAUCCAAGUGACGGUACUCUAUAAGAAAGCCACGGCUAACUACGUGCCAGCAGCCGCGGUAAUACGUAGGUGGCGAGCGUUAUCCGGAAUUAUUGGGCGUAAAGAGGGAGCAGGCGGCACUAAGGGUCUGUGGUGAAAGAUCGAAGCUUAACUUCGGUAAGCCAUGGAAACCGUAGAGCUAGAGUGUGUGAGAGGAUCGUGGAAUUCCAUGUGUAGCGGUGAAAUGCGUAGAUAUAUGGAGGAACACCAGUGGCGAAGGCGACGAUCUGGCGCAUAACUGACGCUCAGUCCCGAAAGCGUGGGGAGCAAAUAGGAUUAGAUACCCUAGUAGUCCACGCCGUAAACGAUGAGUACUAAGUGUUGGGAGUCAAAUCUCAGUGCUGCAGUUAACGCAAUAAGUACUCCGCCUGAGUAGUACGUUCGCAAGAAUGAAACUCAAAGGAAUUGACGGGGGCCCGCACAAGCGGUGGAGCAU
rnacentral:rRNA from 1 species